UUUUAAUCUGUUAUUUUUUUCACAUUAAAGUGAUGCUAAUGAAAGAACCUAGUGGGGAAACCCCCACUCUGUUCCCGAUAAUGCGUGCACCCAAAAAUCACAAACAGACCG
rnacentral:pre_miRNA from 7 species